GAUGAACGCUGGCGGCGUGCCUAACACAUGCAAGUCGAGCGGCAGCGCGGGGUGCUUGCACCCUGUCGGCGAGCGGCGGACGGCUGAGUAGCGCGUGGGAACGUGCCCCAAAGUGAGGAAUAACUGCCCGAAAGGGUAGCUAAUACCGCAUAUUAUCUUCGGAUCAAAGGAUUUAUCCGCUUUGGGAGCGGCUCGCGUCGGAUUAGGUAGUUGGUGAGGUAAUGGCUCACCAAGCCGACGAUCCGUAGCUGGUCUGAGAGGAUGACCAGCCAGACUGGAACUGAGACACGGUCCAGACUCCUACGGGAGGCAGCAGUGAGGAAUCUUCCACAAUGGGCGAAAGCCUGAUGGAGCAACGCCGCGUGCAGGACGAAGGCCUUCGGGUUGUAAACUGCUUUUAUAAGUGAGGAAUAUGACGGUAACUGAUGAAUAAGGAUCGGCUAACUACGUG
rnacentral:rRNA from 1 species